CUCGCUGUUUGCAUGUUUGUGCGCUUUGGGUGUACUUUUUCGUAUGGUAGGCCAAAGUCAGUUUAGAUUAUCAUAAAAUGACCGGCGGAAUGUAGCUUUGAUUUCGGUUGAAGUGUUAUAGCCUCUGGUAGAUGUGGUGAUUGAGACUGAGGAUUGCAACGAAUAUCCUUCGGGCUAUCCGUCUGGCCUCUGAAAGUUGCUCAGGUGCCGAAAGCGUGCUUACGGUCAUCUAAGAUAACGUUCAACAGGUUAGAAAGUGAUUACAUUCGUUAAGGAUGUUGUUGUA
rnacentral:rRNA from 1 species